rnacentral:rRNA from 1 species
UACGGAGGGUGCGAGCGUUGUCCGGAAUCACUGGGCGUAAAGGGCGCGUAGGCGGCGCGGAUAGUCGGCGGUGAAAGCCCGGAGCUCAACUCCGGGUCGGCCGUCGAUACUUCCGGGCUUGAGCACUGUAGAGGCAGAUGGAAUUCCGGGUGUAGCGGUGGAAUGCGUAGAGAUCCGGAAGAACACCGGUGGCGAAGGCGGAACUCUGGGCCGGAACUGACGCUGAGGAGCGAAAGCGUGGGGAGCGAACAGG